GAUGAAGAACGCAGUGAAAUGCGACAAGUAAUGUGAAUUGCAGAAUUCCGUGAAUCAUCGAAUCUUUGAACGCACAUUGCGCCCGCCAGUAUUCUGGCGGGCAUGCCUGUCCGAGCGUCAUUUCAACCAUCAAGCCCCGGGCUUGUGUUGGGGACCUGCGUCCGACGCAGGCCCUGAAAACCAGUGGCGGGCUCGCUGUCCACACCGAGCGUAGUAACUAACCUCGCUAUGGAGUGGCGCGGGCGCCUGCCGUAAAACCCCCAAUUUCACAAGGUUGACCUCGGAUCAGGUAGGAAUACCCGCUGAACUUAAGCAUAUCAAUAAGCGGAGGA
rnacentral:misc_RNA from 1 species